AUUGAACGCUGGCGGCAUGCCUUACACAUGCAAGUCGAACGGCAGCACGGAGCUUGCUCUGGUGGCGAGUGGCGAACGGGUGAGUAAUAUAUCGGAACGUACCCUAGAGUGGGGGAUAACGUAGCGAAAGUUACGCUAAUACCGCAUACGAUCUAAGGAUGAAAGUGGGGGAUCGCAAGACCUCAUGCUCGUGGAGCGGCCGAUAUCUGAUUAGCUAGUUGGUAGGGUAAAAGCCUACCAAGGCAUCGAUCAGUAGCUGGUCUGAGAGGACGACCAGCCACACUGGAACUGAGACACGGUCCAGACUCCUACGGGAGGCAGCAGUGGGGAAUUUUGGACAAUGGGCGAAAGCCUGAUCCAGCAAUGCCGCGUGAGUGAAGAAGGCCUUCGGGUUGUAAAGCUCUUUUGUCAGGGAAGAAACGGUGAAAGCUAAUAUCUUUUGCUAAUGACGGUACCUGAAGAAUAAGCACCGGCUAACUACGUGCCAGCAGCCGCCGUAAUAC
rnacentral:rRNA from 1 species